rnacentral:rRNA from 1 species
AGCGAACGCUGGCGGCAGGCCUAACACAUGCAAGUCGAACGAAGUCUUCGGACUUAGUGGCGGACGGGUGAGUAACACGUGGGAACGUGCCCUUUGGUACGGAAUAACUCAGGGAAACUUGAGCUAAUACCGUAUGUGCCCUUCGGGGGAAAGAUUUAUCGCCAUUGGAGCGGCCCGCGUCUGAUUAGCUAGUUGGUGAGGUAAAGGCUCACCAAGGCGACGAUCAGUAGCUGGUCUGAGAGGAUGAUCAGCCACAUUGGGACUGAGACACGGCCCAAACUCCUACGGGAGGCAGCAGUGGGGAAUCUUGCGCAAUGGGCGAAAGCCUGACGCAGCCAUGCCGCGUGAAUGAUGAAGGUCUUAGGAUUGUAAAAUACUUUCACCGGGGAAGAUAAUGACGGUACCCGGAGAAGAAGCCCCGGCUAACUUCGUGCCAGCCGCCGCAGUAAUAC